rnacentral:rRNA from 1 species
UACGGAGGGUGCAAGCGUUGUCCGGAUUUAUUGGGUUUAAAGGGUGCGUAGGCGGUUCUUUAAGUCUGGGGUGAAAGCCCGUUGCUCAACAACGGAACUGCCCUGGAAACUGGAGGACUUGAGUACAGACGAGGGUGGCGGAAUGGAUGGUGUAGCAGUGAAAUGCAUAGAUACCAUCCAGAACCCCGAUUGCGAAGGCAGCUGCCUAGACUGUAACUGACGCUGAGGCACGAAAGCGUGGGGAGCGAACAGG